GCUCCAAUGGCCAGUGGUAGACCAGCCUCACAACUUCAGAUAUUGUUUCCAUACAAUUUUCAGAGGCAUAUGUGGGUUCGAUUCCCACUUGGAGCG